UACGAGGGGGGCAAGCGUUGUUCGGAUUUAUUGGGCGUAAAGGGUGCGUAGGCGGUUUGGCAAGUCUUAUGUGAAAUCUAUGGGCUCAACCCAUAGCCUGCAUGAGAAACUACCGGGCUUGAGUAUUGGAGAGGUGAGUGGAAUUUCCGGUGUAGCGGUGAAAUGCGUAGAUAUCGGAAGGAACACCUGUGGCGAAAGCGGCUCACUGGACAAUAACUGACGCUGAUGCACGAAAGCUAGGGGAGCAAACAGG
rnacentral:rRNA from 1 species